UACGUAGGGUGCGAGCGUUGUCCGGAAUUAUUGGGCGUAAAGAGCUCGUAGGCGGUUUGUCACGUCUGCUGUGAAAACUGGAGGCUCAACCUCCAGCCUGCAGUGGGUACGGGCAGACUAGAGUGCGGUAGGGGAGAUUGGAAUUCCUGGUGUAGCGGUGAAAUGCGCAGAUAUCAGGAGGAACACCGAUGGCGAAGGCAGGUCUCUGGGCAUUAACUGACGCUGAGGAGCGAAAGCAUGGGGAGCGAACAGG
rnacentral:rRNA from 1 species